UUUUCCCUUUUUCAGGGAAACUUCCAAAGAACUGGCUGUGGCGGACACCCUAUCUUUCUGGCUCUGUGACCUUCCCCUUCCAGCUGCUGCCCCCACCAGCCUGCACCCCUGUUCUGAGAGGCCAUCCGCACCUCUCGGUGCCUGCCCUCCUGCCCGCCCUCCUGUGGGCCUGGCCUGCUCCACACCUGCUGUCCACGAGGAGGACCGGCUUGUGCUGCCCUCCGACUUGGCCACACUGGUUCCUGCUGCCUGCAGCUUCCAUUCUAACAGGUGUGGGGCUGAUCACGAACAAAUCCACUAAUGAAUAAAUCAGAAAACUUGUAGGUAGUUAUCUGUGGAGAAUUAAGGUGAUUGUCACUGGGUCAGUCUGGGUGUCUAAGGCCCCAUCCUGACAGGGGAACUGUGAGCCUCGCCUUGGCCAGAGGGAGACCCUUCAGGUGGAAGGAACAGCCUGGGAAGUCCCGGGGGGCUUGGCGAGCAGGGGGCAGGGAGCCAGUGAUGGGCCCUCCUCCCUUGGCCAGGCUGGUCUUGAACUCCUGACCUCAAAUGAUCCGCCCACUUUGGCUUCCCUAAGUGCUGGGAUUACAGGCGUGAGCCAUCAUGUCCAGCCAAUUUUUUUUUUUUUUAAGA
rnacentral:lncRNA from 10 species